GUCCUGUCACGCACAUCACGUACAUUGUCGAAACAAUUAAAACCACUGCCAAUAUCUGUCAAUUAACAAACAAGAAAACAAUAUUAUUCUCUACUGUAUAUUCCAAUGGAGUUAUCAAUAGAAGCUUCUUACUUUGAACGACAUUUUUUCUUUGAUCUGAGACUGUUGUCUUCACCCAAUCAGAGUAUACUCAACCUCAUUUAUGUCCAUCGUCUUCUUUGUUCAGCAAUUCUAUUGUUAACCAAACAAUCGAAGUAUUCUGAUAUAGGUGUCCAACGAUCAGCGACCAGUAAGAUACGUGAGAUAGAUGCUUAAGUAUGUGGUCACUCUUUUCUCAGAGCUAUACAAAAGUUGUCUGACACACCCACUUGGAGAUGAUGCAUUUGAUGGUAAAUGGUUGUAGCAAGUAUGGUAUCAUUGGAAUGACAGUCGCGUCUACCAGCUUGUAACCAUUCUUUUUCUUUGACGAUGAACUAACCAAGGAUAUCUUGAUGUCAUUCACAGAGCUUUCAUCAAAAAGAAAAAAAUAAUAUUCUUUUGGAAAAAAGACAACGUAGCAUCAGUGACCACACAAAAGCAAUUACCGGUAUACUCCUGUUCUUUGUGGUGGUAAUGUAUUCACCAAGUGAUGCCUUGACAGAAUAAAACGUCUCUAAGGGUGCGGAGGUCGAUGAUUGAGAAACAGACGGAGAUGAGAUAAAAAUAAAAAAUAAAAAAAACAAGAUAAAAGAUGUUGCGUAGGAUUGACAUAAAGCUAAUCCUCGCAAGAAAAAAAAGGCAAAAAAAAAAGGUCGUCGCAAAAUAAGAAAUGGAAAUUUUCUUGUGAAACUCAUGGCCUCUCUUGAUAUACCUGAUUGCUCAAGAAAAGCAAUGUUCCAAAGCAUCAUGUCUUUUAACAACAAAACCAACCAACAGACAGACGUAAAAUUAUUUUUUCAUUCUGUGUUCCAUCUACCACAAACAAAAUGGUUCAUUUUGUUAAUUAUAAUCAACAAAUGAGAUAGCAAUUAAUUGCAAGACAUUGUGCACAGUAUAUGUCGUUUUCAUUGUUCAAAAGGAGUGUGACAAUAGGAUUAUGAAGCAUCAAGGAUAAUGCAAAGACGUGUGUCUAUAGAUAUUGUUGAUAAUGUUGCCUUUGAUGUUGUGGCUAAUGUUACAAUCUGCUUAUUAUCUGUAUCUAGAUACUGUCAAGUUAAUACAUACAGAUGUUUAUUUGAUGGUGAGAUGCGUUGGUCAUCAUUUGAGGCACAACAUGUACGAUGAGUAAAAAGUUUACACCGAAGAUAUGUACAAAAUGAUGAGUGACACCAGCAAACAACUUGACGAUAGUAUCGGUCCAGCAGUUCCAGUCUGCAUUGCUUCAGGUCGUUCGCCUGAGGGAUAAAAUAAAAAUAUAAAGAUAAGAUGAAAUUUUCAAACAAUUUUCUGGGAUAAUUACAUCCAACAAUGCGCAGAUCCGGGGAUUGAAUGAGAAAUACGCUUGUUGGACAUUAUGAUGAUGUAUGUACUUUGGCAGAAAGUGGAAAUUGAUAACCGCACAUGCUGGUGCUUCAUGUUCCUAUACUGUGGUUGACUAUAUAGUUGUGUCAACGGUCAGCAACAGCAUUGAAUAAAUUUGCAUGAACUAGCAUUUGAGAAACGAGAGAUUAUCCGGACAAAAUUGAAUUUUCCUGAUGACAGUAACCUCGCACCUUGAUUAACUUAACACCAUGAAUUUCGCAUACUAUCAAUAAGUGUCACAUACCAACUUGGUAACGUGUAUGCUAAAUUUAUUAAAAAUUCUAAGCAGACAAAUUCUCUUGUUCAAGGAA
rnacentral:lncRNA from 1 species